rnacentral:rRNA from 1 species
UACGAAGGGGGCUAGCGUUGUUCGGAAUCACUGGGCGUAAAGGGCGCGUAGGCGGCUUUAUAAGUCGGGGGUGAAAGCCUGUGGCUCAACCACAGAAUUGCCUUCGAUACUGUAGAGCUUGAGACCGGAAGAGGUAAGUGGAACUGCGAGUGUAGAGGUGAAAUUCGUAGAUAUUCGCAAGAACACCAGUGGCGAAGGCGGCUUACUGGUCCGGUUCUGACGCUGAGGCGCAAAAGCGUGGGGAGCAAACAGG